AGUGUAAUAGUUUAAUUUGUAAAAUUUUGUUUUGAAAAGGCGGGGAUAUUUAGGUUUAUACUAUGUAUUU
rnacentral:tRNA from 1 species